GAGCAUGAGCACUGAGACUAGACUUCUAAUCGAGAAGGAAGUAAGAGAAUUACUUGAAAGGGCUUACAACAAUGCGAAAACUAUUCUCACUACCCAUAAUAAAGAACUUCAUGCUCUUGCUAAUGCAUUGCUUGAGAAGGAAACACUAACCGGAGGUCAGAUCAAAGCCUUGCUUGCCCAGGUCAAAUCUCAACAAACUCAGCAGAAGCAACAUCAAUCAGUAUCAGUUGAAAGUACACCACAGUCCAAUCCAAGACCUCCACAGAGUCCAAGUGCAGCAGCAGCUGCGGCCGCUGCUGCUGCAGCCGCUGCAGCUACAGCUGCUGCCAAAACCAAAGGUAUUGCUCCAGUAGGAUCUUAGCACAG
rnacentral:misc_RNA from 1 species